rnacentral:rRNA from 1 species
AGGAUUAACGCUGGCGGCGUGCCUAACACAUGCAAGUCGAACGAGGUAGCAAUACCUAGUGGCAGACGGGUGAGUAACGCGUGGUCAACCUACCGUUGAGUGGGGGAUAACUAGCCGAAAGGUUAGCUAAUACCGCAUACGAGUCUCGGGGGCAUCCCUGGGCCUUAAAAGGAGCAAUCCGCUCGAUGACGGGACCGCGUCCCAUUAGCUAGAUGGUGGGGUAAUGGCCUACCAUGGCUCCGAUGGGUAGCUGGUUUGAGAGAGCGACCAGCCACACUGGGACUGAGAAACGGCCCAGACUCCUACGGGAGGCAGCAGUGAGGAAUUUUCCGCAAUGGGCGAAAGCCUGACGGAGCGACGCCGCGUGUGGGAAGAAGGCCUUCGGGUCGUAAACCACUGUCGAAGGGGACGAUAAUGACGGUACCCUUGGAGGUAAGCCCCGGCUAACUACGUGCCAGCAGCCGC